rnacentral:lncRNA from 1 species
CGACUAAAACACUUCUCUUCCUUUAAGAUACGUGUUUGUGACUCUUAAAAGUCCUUUAGCAUUAAAUUGGGUUCAUAUUUGUGCAAAGUGCUAACCCGUCCUCACAUGUUACUGUAUUUAGUUUAACCUAGCUUGGGUAGUAGAACUUACAUAAAAGCUAAUUGGCUAAGUACCGGAAACAUGUGAAUGUCAUAAAUGCCGGAAACUUGUGUUAUAGGCCUUGGGUAAUGGGUAGUGCAUAUGCGAUCUCCAACUUAUGUUAUUAUUAUUAUUUUUUUUUAUUACAAAAACUUAUGUUAAUUACGG